ensembl:lncRNA
GGAAAUAGCACCAGCUGCAGGAUGGUGUCCUGGUCUGUUCCUUCCUAUGGCUCUCUUACCUGAUGUCCACCUACAGCCUUCCUUGCCAUUCACUCUGUGGGAAGCUGGGGCAGUGGUUUAGCCGCAAGUGGUGGCGCUGUCAACAUGAUAUACAGCCAUAGUACUGCUGAGCUCCUGGGCUACCCUGCCUGAAGUGUCUCAGCUUCCUGCCCUUUUGCCUUCAAGGUACCUUAAGAAUAAUAUGUGAUGACACAUUUGCCUGUGUGGCUUCUUGCAGAUGGCACGGAAAUUUUGUGAUCAAAUGAUCGCUGUUGGGACAGAGAUAUUUGGUGAGCUUCUCCCCAUCUUCCAUCAUGUAACGUAACCAUGAGAAUGGAGACACUCUUGGUGUGAGCGUGUAUGGGAAACUGUGCUGGAAGCAACCAAUAGUCUGGGCUAGGCAGAAGGGAGGGGAAAUCCUUUGCUAUGAGGAGCUCGUACCCAGCUCAAAUCCCUCACAGGCUGCCACCGGCACAGCAGUCAGACCUCCUGCCAAUCCCCCUGCACUCUCAAGAGACUGAUUAAAAGAAGAGAUCAAUGUAUGGCUCUGCAGCAAUUUCACACUCAGAGAAAAUUCCUUUUGCCUCUUGAUAUAAUUAAAACAACUGACACUUUUCUAUGUUAAUAAGUUACUUUAUUCCUUG